rnacentral:rRNA from 1 species
UACGGAGGGUGCAAGCGUUAAUCGGAAUCACUGGGCGUAAAGCGCGCGUAGGCGGCUUUUUAAGUCGGACGUGAAAGCCCUCGGCUCAACCGGGGAACUGCGUUCGAAACUGGGAAGCUUGAGUCCUGGAGAGGGUGGCGGAAUUCCGGGUGUAGGAGUGAAAUCCGUAGAUAUCCGGAGGAACACCGGUGGCGAAGGCGGCCACCUGGACAGGUACUGACGCUGAGGCGCGAAAGCGUGGGGAGCAAACAGGAUUAGAUACCCUGGUAGUCCACGCUGUAAACGAUGGAUGCUAGGUGUCGGGGAGCGAUCUUCGGUGCCGCAGUUAACGCAUUAAGCAUCCCGCCUGGGGAGUACGGUCGCAAGGCUGAA